rnacentral:rRNA from 1 species
AUACGGAGGGUGCAAGCGUUGUCCGGAUUUAUUGGGUUUAAAGGGUGCGUAGGUGGUUUUUUAAGUCAGUGGUGAAAGCCUACAGCUUAACUGUAGAGGUGCCAUUGAUACUGGGGAACUUGAGUAUGGACGAGGUAGGCGGAAUUUGUGGUGUAGCGGUGAAAUGCAUAGAUACCACAAGGAACACCGAUAGCGAAGGCAGCUUACUGGGCCAUAACUGACACUGAGGCACGAAAGCGUGGGGAGCGAACAGGAUUAGAAACCCCGGUAGUCC